CCAAGGGUAAUCUUAAGAUUCAGAAGAGUGAUUUGUUUUUCCCCAUGUAGUGAGCAAUUUUCUCACGCCCAACUAAUAAACCAUCUAUUCUUUUCCCAUUAAGCAAUUUAUAUCACAUAAAAAAUUUCCUUUAGAAGUGAGCCUGUCUCUGGCAGAUUCACCAUUUAUAAUAAGAGAGUCUGAACUUUUCCACACUUCCCAUGAAAGCUAAAGGUCAUUCGAAUAGAAGGAAAAGAAAGAGCUGUGAAACAUAUCCAUACUCUGCCAAUGACCUGAGGUGGGGUAGGCAGUACAGCAACUGCAAGACUCAUCAAUUGAACGUAUGUAGGUUUUUAGUAUCUAGUAGAUUACACAAAACACAUACAGGACUUGGUAAAUUUGAAAGGAGAAGGUUGGAGAAUAUGGCAAAGUAGGAUCAUCUUCAUACUAGUCAGUUAGGAAAAACAAGCUGGGAAAAAAUGAGAACAGAGUAGAUGAAUUACAUAGGAAUUUCUGAAAUAUUCUCAGAAUGCCAUGGAUUAAAUAGGAUUUUAUGAACUUGCCUGGGAAGCUAAUGAUCGUUUCUAUGAGAAAAUGUGUUUCACUUUUCAACUCAGGAUAUCUGGAACAUAUAUCUCUCUUUCUCACAGUUCCAGCAGGAUUCCCAGGAAUUUAGCUUUCCCUUUAAUCUCAGAAGAAGGAGCCCUCUUUGAGGCUCCAUAGAGAGAAAUAGGAACAAACUUACCCAAAACAGAUGGGGGGUGGGAGUGCUGAUUUUUAUCCCCAUGGAGAAAGGGAAUUUUACAGCAAUGAGCGCAGGGUCUCUGGUGAAAGGUCAUAUCCAUACAUAUCUUUAUGGAAAAAACAAAGCUUGGAAAUGGAACAGAGCCCAGAGCCCAGGGCUUGGUGGGAAAGCAGGCCCCGGCUCCCCGUCCUGCAUGUCAGUCUUGACUUCUUCCUGUGCUGGUCAGGGCUGCAAAUGGCUGAUAAUAUCACUGAAGCCUGGACUAUCUUCAAAGCCUGACUGGCACAAAAUGACAUAUUAAUGUAGUAUCUCAUUUCCUUUGCGUUCUGGGGACAAGUGGGAUUGGCUUGAUGCCCAGGGAUACCCUGUGAACUCGUGGAAUAGGACUGGGCUAAGCCUGGCUAGCACCUGAAGGAUCCUGUCUAUGGAACUAGGGACAUUGUUUCUCACUGAUUGAAUUGGUUGGAACAUAAAACUAAAAUGGCAUUUGAUCUGUCUUGCAAGAUUUGGUUCAGAAAAACCUUACAAAUAUGCUGAUAGUAACUAAAAUUUUCUCUGCGUCUGUUGCUUAGAUGCAAUAAUUAUGUGUUGAAAAUUGUAUAUAUAUCAUAUUUAUGUAUUUUAGCACAUAGAAAUGGAAGUAUUUAGUGUUAUGGAAAAACAGAUGGAUAGAUGGAUAAUCUCUCUCUCUUUCUCCUCUAUUUUUCUUUCCCCAUUUUCUCCUUUUAGAAGUUAAUUUAAUAGGUAGAUUAAAGACAUCUUUAAAUGACUGGAAAACCAAAGUUCACGUUUAGACAAAUUUCCCAGUUGGAAUUCUCUGUUUAAAGCGCUCUGUUUUCAUGACCUGCACUGUUUAUUUUACAUUCAGAGAUGUGGGCACAUGGGAACCAUUUGUAGAAAUGUCUCUGUUUACUUCUAAAACUGAUACAAUACAGAAGCAGUGAGUAGAGGUUCAACAAACUGACUUUCUUGUACAACAGCCAGUUGUACAAUCUUUCUUUUUAUUACUACUGACAUACAUUUAUGAGAAGAAAAUGGAAGUUAUGGAGUGUAACAAAGAGAUAAAUUCAUGCUCUCUCUGAAAGUCUAUGUAAUACCCAGCAUUUACAGAAAUAAGGAAGUUCAUAGUGAUCAUUUGUGGUUGAAUUUUAGUAAGAAAUGCUCAAAGCCAUUUUACCUCUUUGGACUGAAAAAUAAUGAUUAUAAAAUAAAAUGGGCAGUCCCAGUUGGACUGUCUGCACAUCUACUACCAAUGGUAGAUUGUAAGAGCCUUCCAACUCGUCUGUCUACACUCAGUUGCUCCCCCCACAAUCAAUCCAUCGUACAGCCUGCUGCCAGAGUGAUCUUUAACACUGACCAUAGCUUUCCCUGUAUUAAAAUGUUGUAAUGUUUGUUCCCUAUUGGUUUUGGGAGAGGUGAAAACUUGAGGUCUGUUGGUUAAAACUAGCUGAAGCUAGUUUACUUAAAAAAUGUGUAUAUGUAUGUGUAGUUUACUUAAAAAACAUGUGUGUGAACGUGUGUGUGUGUGUGUGUGUGUGUGUAUAAUACACACAGACACUUUUUCCUCCACACACUGUGAGCCUGGAAAAACAUGUAAUAGUAGUUGCCAAGUGGGGAAUUUGACAGAAAAUCUAGAUAGCCUGCUCUUAUAAAAAACAAA
ensembl:lncRNA